AUGGGAUUCCUUAAGUAAUUGCGAAUGAACAAGGAACUGCUCAGCUUGAAAAUUGGGGCCUUCGGCCUUGAAUUGUAAUUUUGAAAUGUAUUGCCAAUGGAGGCGCAGGUGCAAGCCUAUUGAAAGAAAGCGUCAAUGAGGGUGAGAUUCCUUUUUGUCAUUUGCAGUCCUCCGUGCACGGUAUAUAUUUGACGAGUCACACUCCUCGGCAUUGGAAUGCAAAGUGGGUGGUAAAUUCCAUGUAAAGGAAAAUAUAUUAUUGAGACUGAUAGCAAACAAGUACCAUGAGGGAAAUAUGAAAAGGACUUUGAAAAGAGAAUUAAAAGAGUCUGCAUUUGCUGAACAGAAAGCAAACAGAAUUGAUCUACUUGGUGAGAUUGUUGCGUCCACUUGUGGGCGCAAUGGUUCUUACCUUGAAUGUCAGCGUCUAUUUCUGCAAAUCAUUACCCUUGCACAUGAAUGGUAAUUUGCCUGUGGGUAUUGGAAUGCAUGUGUUUGCAAUGAUUUGUGAUUUGAUACGUGUGUCUGGUGUUCUUGUGUGUGCCUUCUUGCCAAAAGGGGAGGGCUCUCCUCCCUGGGCACUGCAAGCCCUUGCACAUUGUUGCUGGCAAAAUGUUUCUGCUUGACCCGUCUUGAAACA
rnacentral:rRNA from 1 species